ensembl:lncRNA
GAAGCAGUAAACACAGAAAAAAACCCUCCCCCUUUUCUGCCUAAAGGCAGGAUAUAAAUUCUCCUUUUACUGGAGAGAGACUCUUAUCAGCUCCGAGAUGGCACAAGCGGAAUCUGCACACAAACUUUAUUCCAUUCGUUCCCUCCUAUAUUUACCUUCCCACGGUUUGCCGCCUUUGGAAGCCUAAAACCGCCUCCCUUUGUCCUGUCGUUUCUCUACAAAUUUGUUGGUUUUUGUUGAAGAUGCUAUACAAGCUGGAAUUCAAAGCCGCCAUUUUGAGUUAGUCUUGGUUUCUGUUUCUCCCACGUGAUGUGCGCUGCAUGCCUUAACGAACUGUUUUUCCUCCGUUAAUCUGUCUUUUUGUUAAAGACUCCCAGCUGAAAGCCUAAGAUGGAGCGAGGUAAAGUUUUGCCUCCCCUGCACCCUCAUGGACUCAGAAGACCUCCCGGUGACUCCGGCAGAUAGCCCAAGUAUAUUUAAGUUAUGGACAAUUUUCCCUUUCAUUUAAGACAAUUCCAAGACCCCACCAGGCAGAAGUUGAUUUGGGGGUUCAUGCAGAUCUGGCUUCACUGACGGGGCCUUGGUGUGCCUACAUAUAACCACAUGACAUCUGGUGAAUUUCUCAGACAACAGCCUAAAUAGCCUUUGAAUUCAGUUCGUGAGUCUACCAAUUAAACUUAAAAUAACCAAAAAUAUGACUUAUAAUUUCCUCCACUCAUCUUCUACACACGACCACCUUUUAGGAAGCCAAAUACAACCUUCUUUUUGGCUGAUGCACCACCCACCCAUCAAAAACCACAAAUGAAUCAAAUAGAGACCUAUGUGAAGAAGUUCUAGCGAGUGCUCCAAAUAAUACUUCUCCACAUGGAAUAAAUAUUCAAGGAACAGAGGAACAAUCUCAAUCGCAAAGUUCUCAGAGGUAUUCCUUAUCCUCCUGGUCCUACUUAAUUGGCUUCAAAUGGAUGUUGCAAUCCUUCACCUGUGCAUCAGUUUCGACUGCACCCACUCCCCAGCAGCUUUGCUGCUCCAGACAAGGAAAGGACCCUCCAUCCUUGGGAAGUCGUCCUCUGACUACAGGCUCCUGUGUCCGUGCCGUACCACAAGCCUGGAAAAACAUCUCACACAUCAAGUUACAGCGAGAAGACAGCUCUCACCAGACACCAGAUCUGCCAGUGUCAUGAUCUUGGAUUUCCCAGCCUCCAAACUAUGCUAAUGAGACAGUGUAGAUGACUUAUGAAUACCUGCCUCGUCGGGUCUUUCGCUGGAGGAAAGUCUUCUGAUGAGAGAUGCCGAGUAUGUGUUCUCUCCUCUAACACCCGGCUCUUCCUCCCACUCCCUCCUCCUCCUCUCCUCGGGUACGCAGAGAGUCUGUGCAAUCUGCACCGACGUCUUGAAGUUGCAGCCUGGAUACCCAUCCACACCCACACUACAACCCAAAGACUCAUGCCACCCUCGUCUCACAGUUGCCCUGGAAUUCAUGUUCUCUGAGUGACCAGCUCUUGAUGAAGACCUGCCUAAUUGUUCUACCUAGAGACUUGGACAAGAGCCUGUGAGAAAGAACUAAAGGCUUGCAAAUGUGAGCAUAAACUUAGGCCAGUGAAACACAGAGCACUUUCUCAGUCCCACCCAGACUGCAAACAUUGAUUUAGAGGUUUCCACCAAAAGCAAUAUUUUGCCUUGACCUAACAUAUUUGGCUGCACUGGCUGCACACAUAAGAUCAAGAGAGACGCCAUCUCUGAGGUGUGGUGUCUACUUGGAUGAACAUAUUCUCUUCCUAGGAUCUGUGGAUAAAGCCAACGCUUAUUAUUACUAACUGUCAGCCACUAUUCUAGGGAUGUUUUACAUGGGUUAAGUCCUUCAGUUCUUGCAACAACCCUAUAAGGUAGAUAAUAUCAUUAUCCCCAUUCUAGAGAUGAGGAAACCGAGACACAGAGAACUUGAGUAACUUGCCCAAAUUCACAAAGCAAUUAAAUUUAAUGUCUUUAAUACUUUCCAA